CGACCUGCAUGAAACAUAGAACGAUUCGAUAGCUGUCUUGCACACACAUCAUGGUAAAAUAUUCAUCAGUACGAAUAAUAUGCUGACUAAAGUUUAUUAACACUAAAGGACAAAAAGACCCUCUGAAGCUUUAUAGGGAUAAAACUUGGGUAACAUUCUCAAUACAAAUAUUCUUAUUGCAUGCCAGCUAAAGUAGUAAAUUAUUGGUUUUCUCCUAAGACCACUGUUUAAUUGGGGCGAUAACCUUAUCAACAGCCACCUAAGGUGAACAAAGCGAUACAAGGAUCCUAAACUUUUGACCAACUAAUAAGUGCAAAGAUACAUGUUUCGCUUAAUGGCCCAACAAGUCCUUCCCAGUACUUAAAUGCUAUCUUAAUGAGCUUUAAAUUAAUUUACCCGAGUUAAGCUACUCUACGGAUAACAGGCUUAAUUUCCGCAAUAUUAAAGGUCACAUUAUCACUAAAAAUGUACCUCGAUGUCGGCUUAUCCUC
rnacentral:rRNA from 1 species